UACGUAGGGGGCGAGCGUUGUCCGGAAUUAUUGGGCGUAAAGGGCGCGUAGGCGGUUAGGCAAGUGGAAGGUGAAAUCCCUCGGCUUAACCGAGGAACUGCCCUCCAAACUGCUUGGCUUGAGACCGGGAGAGGUGAGUGGAAUUCCCAGUGUAGCGGUGAAAUGCGUAGAUAUUGGGAAGAACACCCGUGGCGAAGGCGGCUCUCUGGGACGGUACUGACGCUGAGACGCGAAAGCGUGGGGAGCGAACAGG
rnacentral:rRNA from 1 species